rnacentral:rRNA from 1 species
UACGGGGGGGGCAAGCGUUGUUCGGAAUUACUGGGCGUAAAGGGCUCGUAGGCGGCCAACUAAGUCAGACGUGAAAUCCCUCGGCUUAACCGGGGAACUGCGUCUGAUACUGGAUGGCUUGAGUUUGGGAGAGGGAUGCGGGAAUUCCAGGGUGUAGCGGUGAAAUGCGUAGAUAUCUGGAGGAACACCGGUGGCGAAGGCGGCAUCCUGGACCACACUGACGCUGAGGAGCGAAAGCCCAGG